rnacentral:rRNA from 1 species
AUACGGAGGGUGCGAGCGUUAAUCGGAAUUACUGGGCGUAAAGCGUACGUAGGCGGUUUGCUAAGUCAGAUGUGAAAGCCCCGGGCUUAACCUGGGAACUGCAUUUGAUACUGGCAGACUAGAGUAUGAUAGAGGGGGGUAGAAUUCCUGGUGUAGCGGUGAAAUGCGUAGAUAUCAGGAGGAAUACCAGUGGCGAAGGCGGCCCCCUGGAUCAAUACUGACGCUGAGGUACGAAAGCGUGGGGAGCGAACAGGAUUAGAAACCCGUGUAGUCC